rnacentral:rRNA from 1 species
CCUACGGGAGGCAGCAGUGAGGAAUAUUGGUCAAUGGGCGCGAGCCUGAACCAGCCAAGCAGCGUGAAGGAUGAAUGCCCUACGGGCUGUAAACUUCUUUUAUAAGGGAAUAAAGUGAGGCACGUGUGCCUUUUUGUCUGUCCUUCAUGAAUAAGGAUCGGCUAAAUACGUGCCAGCAGCCGCGGUAAUACGGAGGAGCCGAGCGUUAACCGGAUUUAUUGGGUUGAAAGGGUGCGUAGAUGGGUCGUUAAGCUAGGUGUGAAUGUUUGCGGCGCAACCGUAAAAUUGCAAUUGAUACUGGCAGGCUUGAGUACAGGUGAGGUAGGCGGAAUUGGUGGUGUAGCGGUGAAAUGCGUAGAUAUCACGAAGAACUCCGAUGGCGAAGGCAGCCUACUAAACUGCCACUGACAUUGAUGCUCGAAAGUGUGGGGAUCAAACAGGAGUAGAUACCCUGGUAGUC